rnacentral:tRNA from 1 species
GGAGAGGUGGCCGAGCUGGCCUAAGGCGCUCGCCUGCUAAGCGAGUAAAGGUCGAAAGAUCUUUCGAGGGUUCGAAUCCCUCCCUCUCCG